rnacentral:rRNA from 1 species
AUACAGAGGGUGCGAGCGUUAAUCGGAAUUACUGGGCGUAAAGCGCGCGUAGGCGGCUUGGUCAGUCGGAUGUGAAAGCCCCGGGCUCAACCUGGGAAUGGCAUUCGAUACUGCCAGGCUAGAGUAUGGGAGAGGGAAGUGGAAUUUCCGGUGUAGCGGUGAAAUGCGUAGAUAUCGGAAGGAACACCAGUGGCGAAGGCGGCUUCCUGGCCCAAUACUGACGCUGAGGUGCGAAAGCGUGGGGAGCGAACAGGAUUAGAAACCCUAGUAGUCC